AGGAGGAUGGCAACCCACCACAAUGCAUGUGACGAGUCAUACAAACCACACAUGGAGCCAUCGGUAGAGAUGGGAACAAUAUUUCCAAUCUGAUGGGUGAGGAAGAUGUACCUGAGAGAGGUAAAAAUAACUCGCCAUAUGUCACACAGCUAACAAGAGGUACCAAAAACUACCUGAAUUUAGGUCUUUCUAACAUCCAAGCCAGCAAUACCCACUACACCACUAAUGAACUGCCUAACAAUGCCUGAUAUCUAGAAUCAAAGGUACAAAUUAGGAGGAGCCUGAUGUCAAAGCCAAGG